AUUGAACGCUGGCGGCAUGCUUUACACAUGCAAGUCGAACGGCAGCACGGGCUUCGGCCUGGUGGCGAGUGGCGAACGGGUGAGUAAUAUAUCGGAACGUACCCAGAAGUGGGGAUAACGUUACCAAAGUUACGCUAAUUCCGCAAACGAUCCAUGGAUGAAAGCAGGGGACCGCAAGGCCUUGUGCCUCUUGGGUGGCCGAUAUCCGAUUAGCUAGUUGGUGAGGUAAAGGCUCACCAAGGCGACGAUCAGUAGCUGGUCUGAGAGGACGACCAGCCACACUGGAACUGAGACACGGUCCAGACUCCUACGGGAGGCAGCAGUGGGGAAUUUUGGACAAUGGGCGCAAGCCUGAUCCAGCAAUGCCGCGUGAGUGAAGAAGGCCUUCGGGUUGUAAAGCUCUUUUGUCAGGGAAGAAACGGUAGAGGCUAAUAUCCUUUGCUAAUGACGGUACCUGAAGAAUAAGCACCGGCUAACUACGUG
rnacentral:rRNA from 1 species